rnacentral:rRNA from 1 species
AGUGAACGCUGGCGGUAGGCCUAACACAUGCAAGUCGAACGGCAGCACAGUAAGAGCUUGCUCUUACGGGUGGCGAGUGGCGGACGGGUGAGGAAUACAUCGGAAUCUACUUUUUCGUGGGGGAUAACGUAGGGAAACUUACGCUAAUACCGCAUACGACCUACGGGUGAAAGCAGGGGAUCUUCGGACCUUGCGCGAUUGAAUGAGCCGAUGUCGGAUUAGCUAGUUGGCGGGGUAAAGGCCCACCAAGGCGACGAUCCGUAGCUGGUCUGAGAGGAUGAUCAGCCGCACUGGAACUGAGACACGGUCCAGACUACUACGGGAGGCAGCAGUGGGGAAUAUUGGACAAUGGGCGCAAGCCUGAUCCAGCCAUACCGCGUGGGUGAAGAAGGCCUUCGGGUUGUAAAGCCCUUUUGUUGGGAAAGAAAAGCAGCAGGUUAAUACCCCGCUGUUCUGACGGUACCCAAAGAAUAAGCACCGGCUAACUUCGUG